AGCGUUGCUCGGAAUUACUGGGCGUAAAGGGAGCGUAGGCGGACAUUUAAGUCAGGGGUGAAAUCCCGGGGCUCAACCUCGGAAUUGCCUUUGAUACUGGCAAUCUCGAGUCCGGGAGAGGUGAGUGGAACUGCGAGUGUAG
rnacentral:rRNA from 1 species